UCUCACCAAGUGCUCCAUAAGUUGAAUGUUUCAUAAAUAGGUUUCGCCUCGGUGACCAAGGAAGUGCAGCAGUUUAGGAAUGCCAAUCUCUUAAAGCACACAGUACAAAAAAAAAUAAUGAUAUUCCAUGAGCCAUGGAUAUGCAUGCACUGUGUCAACUUGCAGUACCAGGGAAUCUGUGACACUGGCACAACUCUUAAUUUAGUUUCCACCGCAAAAUGCCACGGUUCAUAACAGCCGUGCAUGGUGGCUACUCAGCUCUGGAGGCCAAAGUCUGGGUGGUUACAAGUUCAAGGUUAGCCUAGAUAAAAUGGUGAUUUCUUUUUAACUCAACAAUGAGAACAAAGCCGAAUUAUGAACCAGUAAAGGCAGUCACUGAACUGGCAACUCACUAGCACUGACGUGAGCAUUCUCUUCGGAUCUAGUGGAGACUUCAGUGUUUGAUAGAUAGAAAUAGAUAUGGUCUAGGUUAUUCUGACAGCUCAUCCUUGGUUCUUUAGCCAUCUUUUGCGAUGUCCCAAAACUGGACAAGAACCAUGGAGAAGAGAGCGAUGGCCUGUAUAGUAUCUAGAAAAAAUAAACUCACAUCUCGCCUUUUCUCCAUCUCUGAGGUAAAUGGGACUUUGGGCCCAGAGGGUGUAUGUAGUGUAUCACCUCAGCGCUCUCUUUGCCUUUUCGUGUUCAGACACUGGAAGUAACUUGACCCCUCUCCAUCCUCACUGGACAGCUGCCAGAAUGAGACUCGGCUUUCUUUCCCGUGUGCUCCGGAAAGCCACCUACCACUCAGAGGGACUCUUUGACAUGCUCCCGACUUGAAGGACAAAUGAAAUUGGCAUUUUUUUUUUUUUUAAAUCUGAAGGCAAAACAAAGGAGUCAGAAACACGACACCGCAAGACCGGGCACUUAUCUGUCCUCCCAGUGAAAAAGGAGGCUUGGGGCUCAAAGGAUUCUGCAAUUGCAUUUCCAGGAGCGGUUUAGUAGAUUUCUCCCCCUCUCUUUGUGGGGGUCAGCCACAGGAGGUGACUGUCUGUCCCUUCUCAGAUGCAAAGAUUCCUUUGUGAGCAACCCCACACAGGGCAGAGAGAGAGAGAGAGAGAGAGAGAGAGAGAGAGAGAGAGAGAGAGAGAGAGACUAACACAGUGUUCCUGACAUCUGCUCUCCUUGGGUGUCAUGGUCAGCGGCAGAUUGGGAAGCAAAGUUUUGUCUUUUCAGCAACAUGGUACCUAAAGCUAGUCGUUCGAGCAUUUGCUGAGUUCUGCUACGGACAGUCUAACAGGCACAAAGGGAAUUGCAGGGACAUGUGAGACAGGGAGACUGCAUGCUAGCUCUCCAGGGGCUCUUUGCCUUACAGGUGAAAGGUUAAAUAUAUUGAUUCCCAUCUUUUAAUUUUUUUCAGAAUCCCACCCAAACUUCUCCAGCCAUCCUUCCUGGCCAACUAAUGGCUCUCACCUCGACUCUGUGUCCCCACAAGACUUAGGUCCUCCACUUUUCUAUUGUUUGAACUUGGCAGCAGUGUUUUUUGUGUGUGUGUGUGCAUGAUCCAACUAGUUUCUCAGCAUCAGGGGGACGGGCUUUCCAGCUUCUUGGUCCCUCACGUCCUUCUUUGCACAGUUGUUACUUUUGUGGCUCUAACACUAUACAUACUUACUAAGCGAAGUCUUGGUGGCCAAUGCUGAGGACAUCUGCUCAGAUGCCACUCCAAGUAUGUCCCGGCUCUCUCCCUCACAGAUUAAGUUCCUAAAAGUUCCCUUUCCUGACAAGGCUGUCCGUGUGUCUAUCCAGGAGCAAAGGUGUUCUUGCCUGAGCGAACCGUGAAGAAAGGAACCGCUCAGAGCUACAGUGGGUUUGACCUAUCUUUGUUCAUUACAGAAACAGGACAGGUCCAUGUCAUUGGCUACCUUGAGAAAUGUCAGUCAACAAAAAGGGCGGGCCCUUGAACCUGUCACCCAGUGCUUAGCUGGCAUGAUGUAAACCAGUGGGCUAGGUCAGCGGAGGACUCUUCCUAUCCAAACUGUUCUGUUUUUGUUCUACACAAUUUAGAAACCAAAGAACCCACCAGAUCUCAUUCCUUUCCUCCCACCCUCUUCCUCUUCCUUCUCUACUCUCCCCAGAUACAACGUGGGUUCAACCGGUUGAGGGCAUGUGACGCCAACCAGUGUGGAUGUACAUAUGUUUACACCUCAGGCUCAUGUCAUCCAUUUUACAGAUUAUCACUACUUACAGGAAAUAUGGCUGCUCACAUUAAUGGGGAUUGUGAAUGCUGCCUAAAGUUUGUGGUGAAGCACGUGAGGGGGAAGAAGUGGAGAAAGAUAAUAAUUACUUCAUUUUCAAACCUCAAAUAGGUAUACAAAUGUCCCAGAGAGAACAGAUAUAAUGGAUCCGGUCUCCUUUUCUUCAACCCUGACAAUAUUUAUAGCAUAUCCUUGGGUAAAUUUCUUUAGGGUAUAUAUACGCUUAAUUAUUACAGUACUUUACACAUAUAGUAUAAAAGUUCAUUCUCACAAUGUCAAAAAUAUGUAAAUGAGCUACCGUACAUAAAAGGUACCAAGAUAUUUCUAGUCACUUGUGAACAACAUUAAGAAAUAUAGAUGAAAUGCUUCAUGAUGCGAUUUAUUAUGGCUGCGAUUUAACCCAAAUGGUUAUAUUGCACGUAGGCUAAAUGGAAGCACAAAAAUUCAUUUGUAAUAUGUUCUUGGAAAAAGAGGGUUAUAGUCACACUGCAACAUUAACGCUACUUGAAUUCAAACCAUUUUUCCUACUGUAUUAAAUAUUUCCCUGUGUUGGGAGCAAGAUCUUGAAUAGCGAAGCUGGUGCUGUUCACCAAAUGAAAACAGUGAGCUUGUGCUAUUCAUAAAACAGCUGAACAACCACGUUGGUAAUAGAAGACCUCAGAGAGCCAGCAAAAACAAAACCAACAAACAAAAACCCACCAUUGUUUUCUUAAUAAUCAUAAUUCUUUUUUUCCCUGUGUGAUUUUUACCUGCAUAACACUACUCAAAUAAAUUGACAGUUGGACCCCAAAUUACUGUCUUGGCUGCUACGUGGCAUUCUGCAAAUCUCUCAAAACCCCUUACUUAAGUCUGCUUCACCCCCCCCCCCAAAAGCACUUACUUACUCUCUAGAGUGUUACAGGAAUUAGGUGUCCUGGAGCCCACAGCGCCUACGCCUGGUUAGCAGGUUGGAAAGUAAUAAGCACAAUGGAAAGGGAACCUACUUGGUUACCAUGGAUACCUUAGAUCUGAAGAACUCCUAUUUGGGGUGCUCAUCAGCCACUACUUGCACAAAAUCCCUCACGCUGCCUGGACCUGCAUGCGGUCAUAAAUGUUUAACUGCAUCCGUACAGUGUUCUCCAAGUGCUCUGAAAUGGCACAGCCAUGCUGUGGGAAACCAGUCCUUCCCCUGGUGCAUCUGCACUGCCUGCUACCCGUCCAGAGACCUGAAGGUUUUAUUUGGCCAUCCGUUUUGCAGGACUGAGCCAUUUCUGCUAGAUCGCUACAACUGCUUAGCUAGAAUCAGCCCCAAGAUUAAUUUCUGCGGCAAGUCAAUUCACCCUGGGAUGCUACAGCUUACAAAAGGUUUAAAAGCUCUCCCCGCACUGUAGGGGCUCCAACUCUAGUAGUCUGGAUAAGAGGGGCCAGGGAGACUAGUAAGGUACAUAGCCUUUACCUAGUCACGUGAAAGCUUCCAGGGCAUUUCCUCUGCAUGAAUCCCAAAUUACAACCGACUUUUCUCAACAUCUGACCCAUGCAAAGGAAGUUUCAGUGAUAUAUAUAAUAUAUAUGCAUACAUACAUACAUUACAUACAUAGACAUUAGAUCUGUGAAAUCUAAUGAUCCUUGAAGCCAAAGCAGUUAUCUUAAACUCACCAGAGACACAUGUUAGCCCUCUUCCCAGAUGUUCAUUUUAUCCUACAGGAGGAUGGUACAGGCGACUUGGGAGACCAGGCCUUACACUGGUGCCCUGUUUUGGCUUAACGGCUUUAGUAAACCAACAGAAACACUUUGUCCCAUAAAGAUAAUUGCACAACAAAACUUUUAUCUUUUCCAGAUGGCAAAUGGGAUGUCACUCAGUGUGACUUAAUGAUCUGGCCCCCACAGGACUCUCUCUAGAUUCAUUUGCCUGCUCCGCCAGAGUGCCUACUCGUCGACCGCAAUAGGGAGGCUAGUCUCUACACUAAUGAAAGUAAGAGCCAGGCUGUUGUCAGGAGCUGGGCAUGGCUGGAGAGAGGCGUAAACAGGGGCGUGGCUGGAGACGAUUGGUCAUCAGGGACAGCUGGCAAGAUUGUUUAUGUCCUCUACAUUCACCAUCUCUUUCCUCUCCAUGGUCUAUGGUUGCUCUUGUCUUCACCAUUCUCUUGGGAUCUUGACCCACAGCCACAGUUUGACUCUUUCACCCGUGGCCCCUGUUUUAAGUCUUCAGCUCGGCCCUCUCCCCUAAACUCCACAUAUAUAUCUAGUUGGGUGUGUAAGCGUUGCUUCUCCACAUAACCCUUCAUGUUCAUUAUUUUUCUACAGAAUUUUUUUUUUACCUAGUAGGUAUAAUAUCUGUAUCUUAUUUCCUAGCAAACAUUUUCCUUAUUUUUUUUUUAACGUCCUAGAAUACAAGUGACUUCUAACAGCUAACUUCCUCCAUACGUGCACCAUACUGGUUAUUUUAAAAUAGUAUCUUAACGUAAUUUCAGAAAUGCUUACUUUUUCCUUAUAUAGCAUAGUCUCCAUGUUUGCUGCAAGAUUCUGAGAACAGAUAAAUAUCUAGUCCCAAUGUACUUGAAGUCGCAUGGUGGAAUUAGGAAAAUGCUUGUGUAUAAACUGAUUCUCUUCACAAAAUAGGUUGGCAUGGUAGCAUAUCAAGUAUAGUUUAUUCAGAAAAGAGUCACAUAUGUCUUUACUGAAUUCACUCUUUAAGAUUUUGUUUUCCGGGAUAGAAAGAUGGCUCAAGAGUUAAGAGCAUUUGCUCUUUGUUCAGAGGACCCAGGUUCAAUUCCCAGCACCCACAGGUUGACUCACAACCAUAUAUAUAACUCCAAUUCUGGAGACUUUGACAACCUACCCUCUUCUGGCAGACACACACAAGGUACUCAGACAAAAUACCCAUACACAUAAAAUAAAACAAAAACAUUAAAAAUUGCCACAGAUGGGCUGGUGAGAUGGCUCAGUGGGUAAGAGCACCCGACUGCUCUUCCGAAGGUCCAGAGUUCAAAUCCCAGCAACCACAUGGUGGCUCACAACCAUCCAUAACGAGAUCUGACUCCCUCUUCUGGAGUGUGUGAAGACAGCUACAGUGUAUUUACAUAAAAUAAUAAAUAAAUCUUUAAAAAAAAAUUGCCACAGAUACACAAGGUACUUAAAUCAUGCAAAUGGAUACAUUCAUGGAUGAUCGUAGACAGAGGACACUGAAAAUAGUGUUUUGAAAAGGAAAGAAAUGUACUUUCAUAGUGAACUACAUUCAUGGAUCGAUGAACAAAAUAUAAAGAAGUCUGAUUUGCCAAACAGGAGCUCAGUUUUGUCCUCCGUGAUCAGCAAAUAUUUUUUUUUCCUGUAACUGUCGGCUUCCUCUACUCAGUUACUGCCUAAUGAUCUGUUGAAGUGAUACCAUCUCCUUCCCGGUCCGCAGAAGUGCCCUCCCCCACCCACAUGACCAUGCUCCAUCUUCUAGAGCGGCAUCUUAUGCCCGUGACCUUGAACAAAGCCUAAGCGAGAGAGCCUGGUCACUCUGUCUUGAAAGAUUUCCUUUCCAACAUCUGCUGCUUCCUAUUUUGCAAUCUCACUUGCAAACAGUGGUCCUCUUGUCAUAGAUAUUUAUGUGUCUACGUGUCAGGAGCCAAGAGAUUAGCGAGAGCAGCUACUCUUUGGGGUAAUUGAUGACAUAACACUGCAGAAAUACAUUUGAUUUUUUGUUUUUUGUUUUUUGUUUUUUUAAAAAACUUUUAAUUGCAUGGUUUUAAGAAGCCAUUUUGUGAGAUUUGAGUAGACCAUUGUGUGCUUUUCUUUUUCUUCUCCAUUCAAUGAAUUUGAACACAGAAGCUACUAUUUAAUACCUAGAUAUUAAACACACACAUACACACCCAAACCCUCUAUUCAAGGAGCAUGGGGACAAUCAUAGAGGAGUACAGAGACAACCAUAGAGGAGCACAGGGACAACCACAGGGGAGCACGGAGACAACCACAGGGGAGCACGGAGACAACCACAGAGGAGCACAGGGACAACCACAGGGGAGCACAGAGACAACCACAGAGGAGCACGGAAACAACCACAAUGGAUCAUGGAGACAACCACAGAGGAGCAAGGAGAUAACCACAGGGGAGGACAGAGACAACCACAGGGGAGCACAGAGACAACCACAGAGGAGCACGGAAACAACCACAAUGGAUCAUGGAGACAACCACAGGGGAGGACAGAGACAACCACAGGGGAGCACGGAGAAAACCACAGAGGAGCACGGAGACAACCACAGAGGAGCACUGUAACAACUACAGAUGAGCACAGGGAUAACCACAGGGGAGCACGGAGACAACAUUCUGACUCUGGCCUGGCUUUCAGGUGGCUUUGCAUUAAAGGAUCCCCCUUACUGCAAUAGUUAAUAGACUUUUUUAAACCCUUAGAAUGCUGAGUUUUUAGGCUGUAUGUUACUCUCUCGUGGAUUCAAGACAUAAAGGCAAAAACAUAAGGAUGCCUGUUAAAUAUCACAGAGAGAUCGAAGAAACCCAGGAAGGUCCCUAUGGGGGUGGGAGUUGGUCCCCCCCCUUUUUAUUUUUGGAGGAUUUUAUUCUGGAAGAAAAAUAAUCACCACACACACACACACACACACACACACACACACACACGUCUCAGUCCUUCAGAUCGUAUGUAAAACCUAAGUGUAAUUUGCAAAGGAUAAGAGAAGCAAGUUAAACACUUUAUACUUUCAAACCUCAGACCAAGAUAGGAUUACCAAGCUAAACGGCUUCCUUCCUUUCCUUUCCUUUCCUUUCCUUUCCUUUCCUUUCCUUUCCUUUCCUUUCCCUUUUUCCCUUUCCUCCCUCUCCCCCCCCCUCUCUCUCUCUCUCUUUCUCUUUCUUUCUUUCUUUCUUUCUUUCUUUUUCUUUAUGGGAAAGAAUGGGUAAGAACAGUCAUAAAACAUAUAGAUUACUGGGGGAUGAGUCAAAUGACCCAACCUACACACUCAGUCUCUUGAACUGGUGCAUACUAUUGGAAAGGACAUCAAACCAUAAAAAUAACUCAUAUGUCUGUUAUGUUUUUCCAUUUUAAGCUUAUAAUAGCAGUAACGACCUCAGCAAAAGACAUUUCCUUGGAGUUAAUGGCUGGCUGGGAGGCAGAGCCGAGGGCCACUGGUUCUUCCCAGCUGGUCAUUAAUCCCCAGGAAACGCCUGCACCUCCAUCAUUAUUGCUAAAGCACCAUUACAGAAAUUUCUCACAGUUCCAGGGUACGGAAAUCUGAGGCUACUUUGCAAGCCCACGGACUUCAUGGGAGUUAAUAGGCCACCACUGAGCACAGCACACACGUAAUUAUCAAAAUGACAGAAGGGAAAAUAUUGUUCUCCCAGGUCUGUAAGAUUAUAGGGAAUGGGGACUAGCCUUAUGGGAGGGGUAGGGUUGAAGCUAAACCACAUUAAUUUAAAGGCAGAAUAAAAUCGCCUAUAUAAAAAUCAGUUUAAAAAAAAAAAAAAGACAAGGCAGUUUACUCCUAUUACAUAGUCUUAAAAUAUUUUUAAAAGAUACAAAUUAAGGUUCUAUAUACACUUCUUCCUAAUCCAAUAAUGUCAUAUUAAAGAGAAUGGUUAUAAUAAGGAGAGAAUUGUAUACAACCGGUGAAGUUUAAGGGAAUGAGUACCUUUGAGAAUUGGGGGAUAUGUUUGGGAAAAUUCAUAGGCAUUCACCAUUAAAUAUUCAUGCAAACAUUUCACCCUAGACUUUCUGCCUAGAGAAGCAAACCAGAACCUCACUGACCUGAAGUUCUACUUUUUGUCUUAAAUAGAGGCUUAGCAUAUGCAAACAAGUGCCCUGAAAUUUGGAAAUCACAGACACACUCUUAGUGUUCCGCACUACCGAAUUUAGAUAGCUUUUUAGAAAUUCCCAAGCUUACAAGCUUCAUUAAAGACAAAAAUUAGACGCUUUCAAAUCUAUUCAUUCCCCACUUUUAAAACACUGGGCCCAACCACCAGUUCAAAGGAAGGAGGUAAUCUAAAACUCACACCCCAAACAGCCUAUAAAUCUUUCCAACGUGUUCUUAUAACAAACUGCAAAUGUUGGCCACAAUGCUUUAGAUUUAAUGAAACCCCUUGUACGUUCUCCUGGUGGGUUACAAAUACCUGCCUUAUUCUAAGUGAGCUUGAAGCUGAGGAGGCCUGGCACAGGUGACAUUGCAUCCCUAAGAAGAUUUCUUGAAGUUCUAACUCAUGUUGCAUCUACAGGAGUGAAGCCUUACUUGGGAACAGGGUCUUUGAAUUCAUAGUCAAGAUAGGGUUACUAGGGAUCCUAAGGGGGGAGGGGCGUUUAGAAUACAAGCCUGCAAGACCUCCCUUGGCAACAAAGUAUACAGAGCAUGGCCACACCUUAACAGAGUGGGGUGCCCAAAAACUAAGGAACAUUAAUAAUUAUGAAUGAUCAGGAAAUUGAUUCUCACAUAGAAGCUUGUCGAGUAUACGGCCCCACACCUGUAAUGCCAGCAUUUGGGAGGCUCAGUAAGAUCACUGCAAAUUCAAGGCUAACCUGGGUGAAGAUCUUGUCAGAAACAGGAGAAAGAGACAGACAGACACAGACACACAGACACACACACAGGACGGGGCAGGGGGACAGAAAGAGGCACGCAGAGAGAGAGAGAGAGAGAGAGAGAUCAUGCAUUACUGGCUUCUGGAGAGCAGCAUGACCCUGUAAAAACCCAAUUUCUACUUCCCAGAAAUGUGAGAGAGAGAGAGAGGGAGAGAGAGAGAGAGAGUUUCUAUUGUGCAAAGGCACCCAGGCAUGCAGUACUUUGUUACAUCAACCCUCAGAAAACGUAAUACAGGACUUGGGGAUUGGGGUGGGAGAGGGGGAACCAGGGCCAACAUUACAAAUGGUAAUGGAGGAAAAGUCAGAAAGUCAGGCCAACAAGUUGAAGCCAUUCAUUAGUUAAGGGGAAAAGCAACGGACUGGCAGUCAGGAAACCUGGCUCCCGUCGGGAUAAUGACUGACGCUUGCGACCAGGAGCUGGACACUUAAUUGCUCUCUGCUUUGACACUGUCAUCUGCAGAACAUGAGAAGCUGGGACUCCAUAAGCUACGGACCAAAUCCAGGCUCCUAUCUGGGGAAGCGGAACACGAAUCAGAGCAGCAUUUUAAUGCUUUCACAGUUUCCAGUUUUGGCACCGCGGGGUGGGGGCGGGGGCCUCAGUGACAGGACACAGGAACACAGCUGCGUCUUCAUCUGCCACCAGCCAGGUCCGCACCGGCAGGCUGCACACAUUCAUGUGAACCCGGUAAGAACGGAAGAAGCCUGCCAUGAAAUAACAGCACGCUGCUCUGGUACUGGUUUAUGGAUGUUUGAAAUGCUAGGUUUGCUUGCUUGUUUGUUUCCGUUACUAAUAUAUAAUAAAUAUAUAUAAUUAGUUAAAUAAAUGUAUAUGCAUAUAUAUAUUUGAACAUUAUUUGUCAUUAAGAAAUAUUUUCUUGGGGCUGGUGAGAUGGCUCAGUGGGUAAGAGCACCCGACUGCUCUUCCGAAGGUCCAAAGUUCAAAUCCCAGCAACCACAUGGUGGCUCACAACCAUCCGCAACAAGAUCUGACUCCCUCUUCUGGUGUGUCUGAAGACAGCUACAGUGUACUUACAUAUAUUAAUAAAAUAAAUCUUUAAAAAAAAAAAAAGAAAUAUUUUCUUAAGCUGGGCGGGGUAGCGCACACCUGUAAUCCCAGCACUUGGGAGGCAGAGGCAGGUGGAUUUCUGAGUACUGGCCAGCCUGGUGUACAGAGUGAGUUCCAGGACAGCCAGGGCUACACAGAAAAACCCUGGCUCGGAAAAAACAAAAACAAAAACAACAACAAAAAAAAAGAAAUGUUUUCUUUUAAAGUGCCAGUAGGAAUAGUAUUAGCCCAAAGAGGAAAAAUAAAAUCACUCUUGUAGAAUACCAUGGAGUAGGGAUUCAGGCUCCAAUAGGGCACUGGGUAUAUUAUUCUCUAUGUAUCUACAUAUUCUCUAAAGGGCCUGCAUAGUAAUUACUUAUGGAGAUGGUUCAUUAUAUUCAGGUAUAAUCGCUGUCAUCUAACUACUGAAACCCCAGACAUGACCAGUAGAAUACAGAGGGUCUUUCCAUUCUAAAGUGGUAACGUCAGGCUAAGGCUUUGCUUCAGGUGUACGAGUGUGUGCGAACAUGCAUGCAUGUAUAACAUAUGUGUUCUGCGCACAUGCGUGUGUGUGUGUGUGUGUGUGUGUGUGUGUGUGUGUGUGUGUGUGUAUGCACGUGUGCACAUAAAAAGAUGCAUGUAGGGAGACCCACGGCAGUGAUAGUGUUGCCUACUGCAGGUGCUCCUAACAAUGUCAAGGUGAUGAGGUUUGCCUGCAGUCCACGCUAGAGACUGGGUUAGAUGAUCACGGUACAAUUAAGAGGGUAGUUUGCCCACCAAAUAUCUCUUUAUGUGGACACAUCUAUCUAUCUAUCUAUCUAUCUAUCUAUCUAUCUAUCUAUCUAUCUAUCUAUCUAUCUAGAUUUGAGGGUUGGCAAUCAAACCCCAAAGCUCUGCACCUUCUAUGCCCAUGAUUAACCACGGAGCUACAUCCCCAGCUUCUAAGUGCACGACUUUGAAGACAGACUUGAACGUAACCCAAAAGACAAACAGGUACUCAACGAGGCGCGGUGCGUGUGGCCUCAGGAAAAGCAGGUGUGUGCUGCACUUCUGUGCCAGUUUCCCUCCUUGGCCUCUCAAAUUGGCACGACUCUUAAUGCAGUAAAGUAGAGCUUACUCCAGGCAAGUCAGAAGCUGUGUGCCAAGCCCACCUAUGAUUCUGCUUGGGCUAGCCAGCUAUUCAUAAGAAGGAAAUCUCAAAAAUCACCCAUACAGCCACAGGUAGGAAACACGGGCCCCUCUGCCAACGCUUGACAGCCAGGCCACGUUCUAGGAUAUUUAAAAGACAUGACGUAUCUCCAUGUCUGUGGAAACUGGCGAAGUUGAAAAUUCUCAAGUAACUAUUUUAAAAGACGGCGCUUCUGGUGAUAUAUUUCUGAACCUAUACGUGGGAUAAAAGUAGUUCACAGCAUCAUCUUUACACAGACACACACAAAUAAUUACAUGCAGAGCUGGGAACCCAGAGUAUGAUAGCUAGGAGGUUUGGUUAACAGCAACAUCCUAGUUGAGAGAGUGUCACUACAGUUUAUACAGGCCAGAGCAUCAUCGUUCAGUAGUAGAGGCUUUGGGCUGAUCCCCAGAGCUGCAGAGAAAAAUAGGAGAGAGAAAAAGGCACCAGGGUGAGGGAGCUGGACAAAAAUAUACACGGCAUUUCUUACAACUACAUGUGAGAGUCUCCAGGAAGACAAGGAUUGUCUGGCUGAAUUUUGGAGGAACAGGGGGAAGAAGAAAUAAAGGCAAGAAAGCCACUUGAACAAAUAUCCACAGGCAAGACUAUCAAAAGAUUCUCUUCCAACUCAAUGCUUUCCAUAUCUAGGAACCUGGAGGAAUGUAGAAGGCUUUUCUACUUGGGGGUAUGUGUGUAUGAUGUAUAUGUGUGUGUGUUUGUGUGUGUAUGUGUAUAUGUGUGUAUGUAUGUGCUUGUGUCUGUAUUUGUGUAUGUGUGUGUAUUUGUGUAUGUGUGUGUAGGAGUGAAUAAAACACAAACAAUAUAGGCAAAACACAGGAUGUCUCAGAAAUGAUACCAAAUCAGCUAUUUUUUUUAAUAAAAUGUGUUCUCAAAUGCCAUGAUAUUAUGCAGAUCUUAGAGAUGCUGCAUUAAGUUAAAACUCAUUCGUCCCGACAAAAAUCUUUUUAAGAUCCUUUAGCCCAAUUAUAAAGCCAGAGCAAUGACCUUUCCUGGGUUGGCUACCUGGGACUGUAUCCACACACAUUUGCCUCAGCUUUCUCAUGGGAAUUCCAGUUGGGGGACCUAGGGCUGGGGGGGGAGGGGGGGGGGUUGUGCUCACAUUUGAGGGUUUCUACUUCAGAUCCCAAGAGAGACAGAAAAACAAGUCAAUUUAUUGAGUGUUCACUAGGUGCCAAGCACUGUGCAUUGAGCUGUCCAGACCAGGAAGGGUGGGCCCCGUGUGUGGUGAGGAUACAGGCUCAGGCCCCAGACAUAACAUCACCCUACCACCCUGCCUGUUCCCAAUCACUGGCUUGGGAGGCCAGAAACAAUUCAAUGAUUCAAUGACUAAGGUCACGGACAAUCAUGAAAGAAAAGGCCUCAGGGAGGCAGCCCCCAGGACUCUCUUAAAGACAGCUGCCCCCUGACAGCUGGUUCUCCCAGGAUGUAAGAGCAUGCAAAGAGACUGCAGGAGCACUGAACCAAAUUCUAUUUAGAAUACCCAAAUGUAUAUAUGAUCAGGGCCGAAGUUAAUGCGAAACAAGCCUAAGUUGAGUAACCAACCCCCUCAAAAAAUAUAUAUGUAGAGGAAGGACACUUGUUGUGUGAGCCCUGGCUGUACAAUUAGUGGCUUUCAAAUAUAGAAGCAAGAGCGCUUACAAAUAUUCUUUAAGCGUUACGGUGUUUAGCACACUCUCUUUUAUCCCCAGUUUUAGUCUGGGUGGAUUCAGCUGAAGGAUUCAGUUUUAUCGCAGGUCUCCUCAGCUUACCAACCUUCUUCCUUCCCAACCUUCCCACUUAAAGAAUAUGCCUCUAUAGACGUGGCUAUACCUUUUUGUCUGGAGUCCCUACAACUGUCUGGUCACUUUCACUCCAAACAACCUUUAAUGGGCCAAGCCGUUUCCUCCUCGGUCAGAUAUGCCUACAUGUUCUAGAAGAAUGUGACAGCUACUACCUCAGGAGGUGAAGUUCUCCAAGUCUUCCUUCCCACGUUCACCACUCAUCUCUCUCAUUCCCACUAACAUCACUUGGCCCUUUCUAACGCACAAGUGGCACCUCCAGUGCCAGAACUUUAACCUUCUAAUAACAAAUGCAGAUGGAAAUGAAGUAUGAGUUAAUGCUGCCUAACUUGGGGGUGGGGAGGCUGUAGAGGUGGCUAAAAAGCUAGGGACAGUGGCUGUUCUUGCAGAAGACCUGGGUUUGGUUUCUUUGCACCCACACGGUGGCUCACGACUCCAGCUCCACGGGAUCUGACACCCUCUCUGGCCUCUGCAGGGCUCACAAGGCUCACAAGGGGAAGUCUACCAUGCAUGUGUACAGGCAAAAAGAUCCAUGCACAUGAAACAAAUACCUUCGAUGGGAAACAAGGGUGAGGGUGAAGAUUUUGAGCAAAGUUUUGAAGCUUACAUGGGUGACGCAACCAAGUCCAUUCUUUUGUUGUACAAUAGUGUUUUUAUGGUUGAGACUUACUAGCAUCUCUUUAGGAUUAUAUGUGUUCCAAGAGUUGUAAUUUAGGAGGACACAGAAGGAACAACUGUCAUCCCCAGGUAUGAUAUGAACAGGUUGGACUGGAGAGAUGGCUCAGUGGUUAACUAAGAACACCAACUGCUCUUCCAAAGGUCCUGAAUUCAAUUCCCAGCACCCACAUGGUGGCUCACAACCAUCUGUAAUGGGAGCUGAUGCUGUCUGAUGCUGUCUUCUGUCAUGAAGGCUUACAGGCAAAUAGAGUGCUCAUGUACAUAAAUAAGUGACUCUUUAAAAAUUAACAUCCAAACCAUAAAGCUAGAAACUCAUUAGGUCAGAAGCCAGCCAGAUAAAAUUUUCACUUCAAAUAUGUAUCAGCAGAUUGGAAAAAACGAGACUUAAAAAUGCCUGGGAUGUUAUGUGAAAAGGGAAAACUAAUUUGAUGCAUACCCACGGCUUUUAAUCACAAUGACACAAGUCACACCAUCCUGAGCAUCCCUUGGGAAGGAGGCUACUGCACAGGUAUCAACAAUGGCAUGUCCCAGAUACUGUUGUAAAUAUUUAAGAGAUCUGCCUGGGAAAGAUGUGAGAUGGACUCAUGGUACCUGAGCACAGGUAACCAGCCAUGUGGCAAAAUGUAGAUUAAAAUGAAUGGCUUAUUUUAGUUCUGAUUAGUCAGAGCAGAGCCUAACUAUAUGCCCAAAGUAUUUAUAAGUAUAUCUUGAAUCUGAGUCUUAUUUCUCGGAGCAUGGGGCUGGAAGGAAGAACUUGGCAUAACUUCUACAUCCAGAAGAAGAAAAUUAGGUUCAUAAAUGUAUACACACAUACACGCACACAUACAAACACACAUGCAUACACACACACACACACACACACAUAUAUAUACACACACACAUAUACACAUACGUAUAUGCAUACAAAUAUGCAUACAUGUACACAUAUACACACACACACACAUAUAUAUACACACAUACACACAUAUAUACAUAUAUACACAUAUACACACAUACACACACAUAUAUAUACACACAUACACACAUAUAUACAUAUAUACACAUAUACACACAUACACAAACACACACACAGGCUAGCACUUGAAGAGUGUUAAUAAAAAAUGCUUUCUGCAUUCAACUACCUCCCUAUAAAACAUUGGUAGUAUACCCACUACCUCUCUACAUCCAUGUAAAUUAUAUAAGAUGCCCAUGGAAGAUUUCCCCCCCUUUUCUUUAAUGUCAUGCUAGUACUAAAGUGUAUCGGUAAGGGAACGGAACACAAAUAGGGCAUUGGAAUGAGUUUCUGUCUACAACAUGAGAAACUACCUUAGAAAACUGUUUUGUGAGGUUUAAACCAACAGUGAGUUCAUCUUUUGGGAGAUAAUCCAAAAUUGGGUCAAAAAGUCCUUUCAAGGGGCUGAGCUCAAAUCUAUUUUAGAAAGCAGACUGCCAUUUCCAGAAGUGAAGAGGCAGAGGCUGAAGUGACACGAGGCGCAAUCCUUUGGGGGCCUGUGAAAUAGACCUAUCACCAACUUACCAAGCCUCGAAACGUAAGCUCGCAUUUGAAACUAAUUGGGGGCAGUGCUUUAGUGACUGCAGGUUGUGUGCACUUAAACCCAGCACUCAGGAGGCAGAGGAGGGCAGAUUUCUGAGUUCGAGGCCAGCCUGGUCUACAAAGUGAGUUCCAGGACAGCCAGGGCUAUACAGAGAAACCCUGUCUAGGAAAAGAAAACAAACAAACAAACAAACAAAAACCCCACAAACCGUCAGAUUUAAGAGAAAUCGAAAAGCCGAAGAAUGAAUGCCCACCUACAUUCAGAGAGCUUGCUUUAUAACAUAGAACUUAUGUACAGUAAAGAAAAACUGCAUUCUAGAUGCUAAAUAUUAAAUAUUGCUUUGGCCUGAAAUGGAAUAAAUGCCAAGAACUAGAGCGAACGUAUGCACGCUUGCCGGACAAAGCUGCUCGUGUAUGUCUUCUCCUCACGGGGCUCCUCACACCAAUGAGAAAGCUUUGUCGUGUACGCAUGGGCCUGGCGGCUGGCGACAGUGAGUGACUUGCUAUCUGAGCCCAGGCAGGCUAUUAAUGACUCUGUCUGCUCAGUUCUCUCCUGUCUCCAGUGCUACAGGUCAGAGGUCAAACAUACAGGCCUAUGUGCUCACCUGUUCACACACAUAUAUAUAUGUAUUCAUCACGAGCUAGGAUCUGCAUAUGAGAGAGAACGUGUGAUUUUCUUUCUGGGUUACAAGUCCAUCCAUAUUCCUGCAAAUUCUACAACUUCAUUUUUCUUCACAAGUGGAUAAUAUUCCAUUGUGUUAAGUGUAGCACACUUUCAGUAUCCACUCCUCUGUUGACGGACAUUUGGCUUGUUCCAUCUUGCUAUUUUAGGUAGAGUGGAAGUAAACGUCAACUAUAUCUACUGGUAAGACAUGGAAUAUUCUUGUGCAACAGCUGGGUGGUGUGGAAGCUCUGAUGGUUUUUUAAAAGCAUAUUAUUAUUGAAAGUUUUUAAGGGAAAAUAAAUGAUCUUGUAUUUACCAAUUCCAUUUAGCUGACUUCAAAAAAAAAAAGUUAUAUAUCAAGGUUGUUUUGUUCCCUCUGACCCCCAUUCAACCUUAAAAUUGUCUGCAUUCUGACUACUGGAUAACUCUUCCUAAACAUUGAAGUUAUAUUUCAAGUUAUAUUUCAAGGCAAGUGUUGUUACAAUGGGUACAAGUUUUUCAAAAGGAAGCAUACAUCUGGAGAGUAAAGAAAUGGAAAUGGAGACCUUUUCUGUCAAGUAGAUUUCCAGGUUCUUCAGCACAUGGGUGCUUAGAAUCCUUGAAAGGAAACAGUUUCCGUUGGUCUGAUGAGAUCCAAAUUUAUUUUGAGUUAGUAUCUCCUGCUAGGUCCUCAAAUCAUCACUUAUGUUAUGAGAUGGCUACAAAACAGGCAAGACAAAAACUCCCUUCUUGUUGAUCUAGACUCUUCAAAUGUGUGACUAACAAACGAAAUGACAUCACUUUCCUGUGUGCCGCAAGCUCUUUUUAAUAAAAGUAAAUGCCCCUGGAAGGAGGCGAAGUGGAAAUGUAUAUUUUUAACUUAACAUCCUGCACACACCCCAUUGCCAAAUAAAGACUAUCAGCAGCCAAGGAAACAGCUGGGACUGUUAGUGACUUUCUAGUGACCCUCUAAAGUCGGCACCUGAUCCUUGGGUCAGUUUCUGGGUCAAUUUUAUGAUCUCCAGAAUAUUUUUUUUCCUUUUGAAAAAAGUAAGCAUUAAUUUCUAUUAAGGUGUAUUUUUCUCUCUUGAAAAGGUUCUAAAAAUAGACCAGGUAAAGGCACUGCUAGUCUUCGCCCUCUUAUUCCAUGUGCUAUUCCCUUGCUUCUCUUCUCCCAGAGGCCCUACUGGCCUUCCUAAGAAACAUCUGGAUGGUAUGCUUCUCAAGUGAAGAGAGCAUCUUUCCUAUUUCCUUAUGUUCCUGAGCCUGAAUCCCACAUUCUCAGAUGUUUUCUAAACAUUUUCUGUCUCUGGACCAGUUCAAUGAUAAGCGCCUCUUCAAGGCAAAAUGGAGACACACAGGUCCUACCUGAAUGUUGUGGGUAAGAGAACUGACUACUGGGAUGAUACAGAUGCUCUGAGAACUAGAACUGUCAAGUUUCUACACGUACAUACUAGGUAAACAGCAUACAAAGUACUUCUCAAAUUAAAUUAAGGCACAACAUCAAACUUCUACUAUAAAGAGAAAGGGUUUUGGCAUCAAUGUAAAAAAAUUUUCCCUGAGUGUGAACAGACAUAAAACCUAGUUUAACAUCACCAGUAAGCAAGUCUUAACCUUCAUGAUAAGCAAUAGACACACGCUGAAGACUCGGUACACCAAGGGAAUGUGGUCAGCAUGGAGUGUGAUUCUCACUGGGCCUCAUGCUGUGUAUAAUUGAAGUGCAGGCUGUAGUUAGCGUUAAGGGGGGAGCAUGCCAAUGUGUUAAAUAUGAUCUCUAAUGUUUACCAAGCACCACACCUUGGGAGUUGGACUGAGCCUUCGCACACUUCUCACUUAACACUCACACAAAUUCUGAGACUCGUACCUUGUCCAGAGGAGAAAUGGAGCCUUGGGAUGAUCACAUAAUUUGUUUAAGAUGAUACUUAGUUGAGUGGUGGGUCAAAAACUUGAACCCCCAAGCCCCCCAAACCCUGCUCCUUGGCCUUGGCUAUGAAGGAAAUGUAAGUUCUGUUCUCUCACUUCUUAUUUGCAUACACAGAGACUGAAAAUCCAGAAAACUAUCAAAAUUAUAAAUCUGCAAACUAUUCAAACCAGCAGCAGAAGAGACCAAAGGAAGCAAUGGACAAUAGUGGUCCUAACCAUCUCUAGUCAAGAUGCUCAUGGGGUCACUGGACCCUCCAGAGUCCUUCUAGCCAUCUCUAGUUAAGAUACUCAUGGGAUCACUGGACCCACCACUUCCUCAUCCUUUCUAAGGGGCAGAGCUCUCUUCAGGUUCACACAUUUUUGGCAAACCAACUCUUGAUUAAAUACCCAACUACUGAUCCUCAUUAGAUUAAACGCUCUUUUCCAGGCAGGUUAUGUAGGUUUGUAAGAUUAACAAGACAAGGGUGCGUAUCUGAGGCCAAAUUUAUGAUGCAGCAUCUGAGAGGGAUCCAACACUUGUCAUGAUUGGUAAAAUACCCAAGGAAGGAGUCAAGGCUGAGAACAAGGGUCAUAUUAAUUUGAAUGGGAUGGGCAGGGAAUUCUGUGGUGCAGUUUAAGAAGCAAACAGCAACAAUAAACUAAUGAAAGCCUGUGGGGAACAGCCCAGUCUGUCAGGGAGGUAGAUGAGGGUCCAGAUGGGUGAUAGUCAAGUGUGCGCACGCGCGCGCGCACACACACACACACACUGGUAAAUGAAGGCUGAAGACGUGAUCUGUGUGUUCCAGCAGCAGAUGUGGGGGUGGGGUGUCUACUGAAAAAGGUCAGUUGCUACUUUACUCCAGAAUUUUGUUGUUGAUAAGAACACAUUCUCGGUUAGAAAUCCUCAGCUUGGCUCCACCCCAUCCUGACUACCACAGUGUACUUUUCUCUCUCAUUUCCUCUUCCCCAUUCCUUAAUUACACACAAUGUAAUCAGUGUGUGUGCACAAGCAUAUUGUUCUUUUUUUUUUUCUUUAUUUCUUUAACUAAAUGACAUAUGCUCUUUUUUGGUCUCCAUCCAUUGGAGAUGGUCUGGGGAGAGUCAUGGAGUUCUGUGAAAAUAUUCCCUUUCGCUACUGGUAGCAUGCCCAUCAUAGCACCCAUAUCUUAGUAAUCCAAGUGGGCUGUUUUGCUCUCAUUGAUUCAAUUAAAAAUAAUCUCAACAGUACAGAACUACCUGCCUACCUUGUUUACUUGGAGAACUUUAAUGUUUUUCACUUAUUAUGGAAACCAAAGCCAAUCUUGUAACUUUUCUGUAUAUAAAUGUUACAAGCGUGAUGAUCUGCCUUGAGAAGGGGUAAACUCCACGGGAAAAAGAAUGGAUCCUGGAACUCCCUUUGAGUCAAGCGUCUUGUUUUUUAAAUAAACUUCUUGUUUUUAAAAAAAAAAAAAAGAUUCAUAGGAUUUUGUUUUUUCUCAAAAGAACUUUAAAACAAAACCUCCAAGAAUAAAGGGAACAAACAAUCUGGUCUCUAAGUCAAAUACGAAGACAAUCCAGUGAGUCCAAAGCUGGAUCUCCAACUCAAGGACAUCGGUGAAUUCAACUGUUGGAAGAGGAGUCAUCCCUGCAUAGAGCACAAGCCCGUUUCCUAUGGGGACUGCUGUGGUUUACUUCUGCAUACAAACUUCCCAGGAAGUAAGGCCUCGCUAUGACUGAUCGCACAAGUCACCAGCAGAAGAUAUCCAAGCAAAGAGGAAACACGUUGUCUAGAAAAAAUAUACCAUUUCCUUUGAUUUCCUCUCCUAAGUGGAGGGACUCUUCUUCCAAGACCAGAUCAGGGACUUGCUAACCACAAAACAUUCCAUUCUUCCAGCCAGGAAAAAUGAGAGACCAGAAUGUUUCAGAGAAGAGCAGACAUGACUAAGACCUGUGGAGGUUGACUCAAGAACCUGAGAGCGUACUCCAAAGGUGGUGGGUAUGAAAAGCAGGGGGUUACUUGCCAGAAGGUAUUUGCCUAGUUAAUUUCCUCUGUAACUGCUUACAGCUUAUUUCAUUUUAGUCUUACUAAUCUUGACUUCAAAGAUCUUUGACUGACUAUUAGAAAAAGUAUACAGGUCUUUCUUGUUGUGUCAUCAGCAGGACUAGGUGUGCAUUCAGAGUCCAGAUACUCAGGAAAUAUCAGGCAGGCCUGCAGUUAGCCUGUAUGACUUAGUGACAUGUCAGCACUGGGCUGGCUACAGUUGAACAGCAGUGGUAUUUUCUGAUUUCCAGGAGCAAGUUUCUGAUUCCUUCCCAGCAACUGAACCGUGAGUGCUGAUAAGAAGUCGGACACCAUCAGACUAGAGAGAGAGACCAUCAGACUAUAGUGUGAGCCAUCUGGGGACACUCACAGGGAGAUUGAAGACUCCUUUGGUGUGGCAAGAGAAAGGAAGGAAGGAGGAAACAUGCUGUGAAAUUGUGGAGCCGAAUGGUAAGGAGUUAUCAUAAGUCCCCCGGGCCUUGGUCUUACAAGGCUUAUCAAGUCAGAAAUUACCAAGUCACACCAUCCAUGAGGAAAACAAAAACAAAAACUAUUGUUUUCAUUUUAGCUUUUAAGACACUCUUUUCCUGUUAAGCACGGGAACUAUAUCUCCUUACUCACCCAUUUCCUAGGUCUGCCUCUUGGCCGUUUUUCUCCAAUGGUCUCUGCUUUCUGCAAAAUGAAAAAGAAAAAAGAAAAGAAGAAGCCAUGUAGUCUCCUGCCUGGCAUUGUUUACAAGCACUGUACCAAGGAAUACAUUCCCAGCUAGAAUGGUCCGGACUGCAGGUGAGGCAUCAAGAAUGUCUUAGCAACCUCCUUCUCUUGUACACUUCAUUCCUCUGGUUUUCGGUGGCUGCUGCUUCUUCACUGUUUGCUGCAUGCUAUAAAGAGGUAUCUAUGCAACCCCUCACCAUAAAAGACUCCCGCGGAGUGACCUCCUCUGAAAUUCAUGAAUAUGCUUUUGUUAAAUCCAUUUCGCCUUUGUUUCUGAUUAUACAAAAGAAAUAUUCCCACAUCCCAUAAUUUAUGCAAAUUAGUAUUUUACAGAACGAACAUUCCCUCAGUGGUCAAGACACUCCUUUUGCAACCAGUUAGAAAAAUUGAUGUGGACAUAUUAAUUUUAAAUAAUAAAACAGUUCUCUCUGCAUUA